AUACUUACCUGCCAGGGGUGAUUCCAUGAUUGUGAAGGUUGGUUUCCCCAGGAUGUGACUUCUCCAUUGCUCUCUGAAUGUGCUGAUCCCUUAAAUUUCCCCAAAUGUGGGAAACUCAACUACAAUAAUUCAUGGUAGCUGGGGACUGUGUUGUCACUCUCCCUUG